CCUUCGGUGGUUAGUGGCGCACGGGUUUCGUAACACGUGGUUGACCUACCCCAAAGUAAGGGAUAACGGUCCGAAAGGACUGCUAAUACCUUAUAAGCUCCCGGUGUUUAGAAAACUGGGAGAAAAGUUCCGGCGCUUUGGGCGGGGACUGCGGACCAUCAGCUAGUUGGUGUGGUAACGGCACACCAAGGCGACGACGGAUAGGGGACCUGAGAGGGUGGCCCCCCACACUGGAACUGAGACACGGUCCAGACUCCUACGGGAGGCAGCAGUGAGGAAUAUUGCACAAUGGGCGCAAGCCUGAUGCAGCGACGCCGCGUGGGUGAUGAAGGUUUUCGGAUCGUAAAGCCCUUUUCUAGAUGACGAGUAAGGACGGNUAGUCUAGGAAUAAGUGUCNGCUAACUACNNUGCCANCAGCCGCGGUAAAACGUAAGGACACAAGCGUUAUCCGGAGUUACUGGGCGUUAAGGGCGUGUANGC
rnacentral:rRNA from 1 species